AUUGAACGCUGGCGGCAGGCCUAACACAUGCAAGUCGAGCGGAUGAAGGGAGCUUGCUCCUGGAUUCAGCGGCGGACGGGUGAGUAAUGCCUAGGAAUCUGCCUGGUAGUGGGGGAUAACGUCCGGAAACGGGCGCUAAUACCGCAUACGUCCUGAGGGAGAAAGUGGGGGAUCUUCGGACCUCACGCUAUCAGAUGAGCCUAGGUCGGAUUAGCUAGUUGGUGGGGUAAAGGCCUACCAAGGCGACGAUCCGUAACUGGUCUGAGAGGAUGAUCAGUCACACUGGACUGAGACACGGUCCAGACUCCUACGGGAGGCAGCAGUGGGGAAUAUUGGACAAUGGGCGAAAGCCUGAUCCAGCCAUGCCGCGUGUGUGAAGAAGGUCUUCGGAUUGUAAAGCACUUUAAGUUGGGAGGAAGGGCAGUAAGUUAAUACCUUGCUGUUUUGACGUUACCAACAGAAUAAGCACCGGCUAACUUCGUG
rnacentral:rRNA from 1 species